rnacentral:rRNA from 1 species
AUUGAACGCUGGCGGCAGGCCUAACACAUGCAAGUCGAGCGGUAGAGAGGUGCUUGCAUCUCUUGAGAGCGGCGGACGGGUGAGUAAUGCCUAGGAAUCUGCCUAGUGGUGGGGGAUAACGUUCGGAAACGGACGCUAAUACCGCAUACGUCCUACGGGAGAAAGCGGGGGAUCUUCGGACCUCGCGCCAUUAGAUGAGCCUAGGUCGGAUUAGCUAGUUGGUGAGGUAAUUGGCUCACCAAGGCGACGAUCCGUAACUGGUCUGAGAGGAUGAUCAGUCACACUGGAACUGAGACACGGUCCAGACUCCUACGGAGGCAGCAGUGGGAAUAUUGGACAAUGGCGAAAGCCUGAUCCAGCCAUAGCCGCGUGUGUGAAGAAGGUCUUCGGAUUGUAAAGCACUUUAAGUUGGGACGGAA